CCUACGGGUGGCAGCAGUGGGGGAUAUUGCACAAUGGGGGGAACCCUGAUGCAGCGACGCCGCGUGGGUGAAGAAGGGCCUCGGCGCGUAAAGCCCUGUCAGCAGGGAAGAAAAGGACGGUACCUGAAGAAGAAGCCCCGGCUAACUACGUGCCAGCAGCCGCGGUAAUACGUAGGGGGCAAGCGUUAUCCGGAGUUACUGGGUGGAAAGGGGGCGCAGACGGCGAUGCAAGCCAGGAGUGAAAGCCCGGGGCCCCACCCCGGGACUGCUCUUGGAACUGCGUGGCUGGCGUGCAGGAGGGGCCGGCGGACUUCCUUGUGUAGCGGUGACAUGCGUAGCUAUCAGGAG
rnacentral:rRNA from 1 species